rnacentral:lncRNA from 1 species
AUGUCAUUCUCAUGAUGAGUGUGUAUUCACUUGUCAUUGCACGAGACUGUGGCGGUAAAAGGGAUGUCCAGUCCCAAAAAUAAAUGGAAUGUGAUGGUAUGGAAGGCACCCGUGAAUUCGGUUAGCCAUGGAUUGUGAAAAGUAAUGGUGGAAACAAAAAAAAUAUUCUCUUGGAUGUGACAUUAGAAAGACCAAAGUCUUGAUGACACUC